rnacentral:rRNA from 1 species
UACGAAGGGGGCUAGCGUUGCUCGGAAUUACUGGGCGUAAAGGGCGCGUAGGCGGCACUGUUAGUCAGGCGUGAAAGUCCUGGGCUCAACCUGGGAACUGCGCUUGAUACGGCAGAGCUAGAGGAUGGAAGAGGGUCGCGGAAUUCCCAGUGUAGAGGUGAAAUUCGUAGAUAUCAGGAGGAACACCGGUGGCGAAGGCGGAUCUCUGGGCCUUACCUGACGCUCAGGUGCGAAAGCUAGGGGAGCGAACAGG